rnacentral:antisense_RNA from 1 species
CUUCACCGAUCCCAGCCGCAGCGGCCGGUUCGCGGGCCGCUCCCGGCCGUAGGUCUCCAUGAGCGCGUUGACCUC